rnacentral:lncRNA from 1 species
UUUUUGCAAUUUUUCAGCCCUAUUGUCUUGCAAUUCCUUUCCACUCCUCAAUGUGAUGGCACUAGCAUUUUUCCUUGGAUUUAUCUCAGUUUGGGAGGGCAAACAACAAUUUACCUGUGCUAGCAAUCUGGUUGUGCUGGAUUGUCCAGGGGGCUGGUUUGUUUCAGAAAUUUCAGCAGAUUUUGGUUCAGUUGGGGCACUUCCAGCAGUUGCUGGUUUAUGGACAGCAGCAGGGGAUGUAACAGGUACUUCGGCUGGUGCUAAUUUGCAGGCAGCAGUGGUUGUGGCAGUUUGACAGCAGUUGCUGUCUCUAUUUUCAGCAACUUGGACAACAGCAAAUUCUGUAAUUUCUGGUGUAAUUUUGGCAGUUUCAGCAAGUGCAGCAACUUCUGGUUCAGUGGGGGCAAUUUCUGAGGUUGGUGAUUUUUGGACAGCAGGUGCUGUUUUUGCAGCAGGAGCUUCGGUUGGUGCUGAUUUUUGGACAGCAGCAGGUUCUGCAGUGGUGAUU